rfam:Brevibacillus borstelensis AK1 seq_num_003, whole genome shotgun sequence.
GGCAUACUGUAACCGCUCGGAUCAGGUUCUCAAGUCGCCCUUCGCGGCGCACCUGCACAGGCGAGUCUGAGUAUAGGA